rnacentral:rRNA from 1 species
GACGAACGCUGGCGGCGUGCUUAACACAUGCAAGUCGAACGGAAAGGCCCUGCUUUUGUGGGGUGCUCGAGUGGCGAACGGGUGAGUAACACGUGAGUAACCUGCCCUUGACUUUGGGAUAACCUCAGGAAACUGGGGCUAAUACCGGAUAGGAGCUCCUGCUGCAUGGUGGGGGUUGGAAAGUUUCGGCGGUUGGGGAUGGACUCGCGGCUUAUCAGCUUGUUGGUGGGGUAGUGGCUUACCAAGGCUUUGACGGGUAGCCGGCCUGAGAGGGUGACCGGCCACAUUGGGACUGAGAUACGGCCCAGACUCCUACGGGAGGCAGCAGUGGGGAAUAUUGCACAAUGGGCGGAAGCCUGAUGCAGCAACGCCGCGUGCGGGAUGACGGCCUUCGGGUUGUAAACCGCUUUCGCCUGUGACGAAGCGUGAGUGACGGUAAUGGGUAAAGAAGCACCGGCUAACUACGUGCCAGCAGCCGCGGUGAUACGUAGGGUGCGAGCGUUGUCCGGAUUUAUUGGGCGUAAAGGGCUCGUAGGUGGUUGAUCGCGUCGGAAGUGUAAUCUUGGGGCUUAACCCUGAGCGUGCUUUCGAUACGGGUUGACUUGAGGAAGGUAGGGGAGAAUGGAAUUCCUGGUGGAGCGGUGGAAUGCGCAGAUAUCAGGAGGAACACCAGUGGCGAAGGCGGUUCUCUGGGCCUUUCCUGACGCUGAGGAGCGAAAGCGUGGGGAGCGAACAGGCUUAGAUACCCUGGUAGUCCACGCUGUAAACGGUGGGUACUAGGUGUGGGGUCCAUUCCACGGGUUCCGUGCCGUAGCUAACGCUUUAAGUACCCCGCCUGGGGAGUACGGCCGCAAGGCUAAAACUCAAAGGAAUUGACGGGGCCCCGCACAAGCGGCGGAGCAUGCGGAUUAAUUCGAUGCAACGCGUAGAACCUUACCUGGGUUUGACAUGGAUCGGGAGCGCUCAGAGAUGGGUGUGCCUCUUUUGGGGUCGGUUCACAGGUGGUGCAUGGCUGUCGUCAGCUCGUGUCGUGAGAUGUUGGGUUAAGUCCCGCAACGAGCGCAACCCUUGUUCACUGUUGCCAGCACGUUAUGGUGGGGACUCAGUGGAGACCGCCGGGGUCAACUCGGAGGAAGGUGGGGAUGACGUCAAGUCAUCAUGCCCCUUAUGUCCAGGGCUUCACGCAUGCUACAAUGGCUGGUACAGAGAGUGGCGAGCCUGUGAGGGUGAGCGAAUCUCGGAAAGCCGGUCUCAGUUCGGAUUGGGGUCUGCAACUCGACCUCAUGAAGUCGGAGUCGCUAGUAAUCGCAGAUCAGCAACGCUGCGGUGAAUACGUUCCCGGGGCU